GAGGGUAUAGCUCAGUGGUAGAGCACAUGCCUAGCAUGCAUGAGGUCCUGGGUUCAAUCCCCAGUAUCUCCA
rnacentral:tRNA from 1 species